ACUCAAAGGAAUUGACGGGGACCCGCACAAGCGGUGGAUGAUGUGGUUUAAUUCGAUGCAACGCGAAAAACCUUACCUACCCUUGACAUGUCUGGAAUCCCGAAGAGAUUUGGGAGUGCUCGAAAGAGAGCCAGAACACAGGUGCUGCAUGGCCGUCGUCAGCUCGUGUCGUGAGAUGUUGGGUUAAGUCCCGCAACGAGCGCAACCCUUAUCAAUAGUUGCUACGCAAGGGCACUCUAUUGAGACUGCCGGUGACAAACCGGAGGAAGGUGGGGAUGACGUCAGGUCAUCAUGGCCCUUAUGGGUAGGGCUACACACGUCAUACAAUGGCCGGUACAGAGGGCUGCCAACCCGCGAGGGGGAGCUAAUCUCAGAAAACCGGUCGUAGUCCGGAUCGCAGUCUGCAACUCGACUGCGUGAAGUCGGAAUCGCUAGUAAUCGCGGAUCAGCUUGCCGCGGUGAAUACGUUCCCGGGUCUUGUACACACCGCCCGU
rnacentral:rRNA from 1 species